GUUAAUACUUGUCAAAAUAUUGGGAGGCAGGGUUUUAUUGGAGUACAAGUUUAAUGGAAACUUUGGUGUUAGGAGCUAUAGCGGAAGUACUGUGAAGGAAAGUUGAAAUAGAAGUGUGAUAUUUAAGUGUAGGGAAGAAAGAGUGGAAAACUGUACCUUUUGUAUAAUGGUUUAGUUAGUGUUUUGGUUUUAGGUGGUGCCAAGCCCGAAGUUGGGCGAGCUAAUGUAGCCCCGCUCGUGAGGAGUAGAACUGUUACUGUUGCAGAAGUAAGGUUCGAGGUUAUAUUAGGUGUGAAAUGCUAAUCGCGCCCAAGGAUAGCUGGUUUCCCCAGAAAGAGGUGUAAGCUGUAUUUUCGAAUUUGUUAAGGAGCUGUUGUCGGCAUGAGAAUCGUAGGCUCUUUGGCAACUCUUGGGAAAGGAAAACAAACGGGGAUAAGCUCGUUUGUUGAGAGGAAAAAGCUUUUUUUAUAGGUUAAGGAUAUCAGGCUAACGUUAAGUAACUUGCUGACUUAGUAGGAUUAAUAACAUCUAUCUAUUUGGAUUACGUUAAAGUUUGUUUUGUUUGUUGCUUAGCGAAUAAUUGGCGGGUAGAUCUCUUAGGUCGUAAUUCAUUUACGGGGAGGUUUCAUGUCUUGAAAGUUAUUUUGCUAAUAUUAGUAAAGGAUGAAAGACUUUUUGUGGCUUAAACAACCCUAACAUUGGAUGGAGGGGCUAACGAUGAUACGAGAAAUUGUAGCCCAGUUUUUGUCUUCUGACACAAGAGGUCUUUAGUAUUAUGAAGGCAAGGAAAAGGAACUCGGCAAGUCUUUAUUUCGCCUGUUUACCAAAAACAUCGCCCCUCGGAAAGCUGAGGCUAAUAUGUGAGGGGUCCUGCCUGCCCGGUGACUUAGUUAAACGGCCGCGGUAUCUUGACCGUGCAAAGGUAGCAUAAUCAUUUGCCUUUUAAAUGGAGGCUGGUAUGAAUGGCAAGACGGGAAUUAGACUGUCUCUUUCUUGUUUCUCUAAUUUAAUUUCUCCGUGAAGAAGCGGAGAUAUAGUCGUGGGACGAGAAGACCCUGUCGAGCUUUAAUAGACCCAGGCAGGCGAUUGGCGGUCAAAUUGCUGCUAAUUUGCCUAUUGUAGGAUAUUAGUUUUACGAAGCAGGGGGCUGCGUCUUGUAUGGGCUGUUUUGGUUGGGGCAACCGCGGAGAAGAGCUAUCCUCCGCUAAGUUGACUAGGAAAGAUUACAAUCUUCUUGUGCGAUUUUCGCUUUCUGUGAUCCGUCAUAAACUGACGAUCAAAGGAAUAAGUUACCGCAGGGAUAACAGCGUUAUUUCCUUGGAGAGUUCAUAUUGAUAAGGGAGUUUGCGACCUCGAUGUUGGAUCGGGAUUUCCUGGGGGUGCAGCAGCUCCUAAGGGUUGGUCUGUUCGACCAUUAAAAUCCUACGUGAUCUGAGUUCAGACCGGCGGGAGCCAGGUCAGUUUCUAUCUGCGAUUAUUUUAUUCAGCUGUCUUUAGUACGAAAGGAUUAAGGGGGCGACACCUAUGCUAUUAAGUAUGUGUUUCAAAGUUGUCCUGAAUAGGAAUA
rnacentral:rRNA from 1 species